rnacentral:tRNA from 1 species
AUUGAGUGAACUAAUUUAAGUUGUGGGUUUCAUGUGCCUGAAAUGUGUAUUUGCACCUCAAUA